UGAAAAUAUAAAGAAUUGACAAAGUUUAUCAACUCUGAAAGGUUAUAUGGACUUUAAGGUUCAGCAUUAUACCUGACGUUUAGCCCACGUGGCGUUUGAUGGUGUUUUUAUUGGUGGAAAAAGAAAAAAAAAAAGAAAAGAAAAGAAAAGCGAAAUACCAGCCUUGAUCGAUCGCAACCGCCAUCUUGGAUUUUGACCAAAAUAAAAAAUGUAGGGAAAUAAAGAUGGCAGACACGAAUGAUGGUGUAUCGGGAGAAAAGAUGUGCAGCAGCGUCUUCGUAAAUUUGGUAUUUGGGAAACAGCGUCAUUAAAUUCAGGGUGAUGGUAUAUAAUAUAUGGGUAUAGAAUUGUGGGCUUCGUCAGACCUCGUUAUUUUAUUAUUCGUUAUCUAUAAUGACCUUCCAUCAAUGCCUUGGAACAAAAGCUGGUGAAUAAUUAAGUUGUGGUCACGGCCCCUACGCCAAUGGUUUUGCACGGGCUAAUAUCGACGACUAGCUACUGUGUUAUUACCGUUUAAGAUAAACAAGAGUUAGUACAGCGCUUGGCAACGGUUUACAGUACACGGUAAAAAAAAUUUAACGUAUUCCUUCGUAGUAGAACUGCCAAGUUUACAAGUUCUAAAAAGAUGACUUGAAGUAGGGCAUUUCGAAUAGUGGGAAAACUUUGGACUUCUGAAAAGAGAGGAAAGAUGAACGCAAACGAAGAACAAGCUGUCAAAGCAGCACUAAACCAAAUCGAGGGCCUCAUACGGGAACUUGACUGGAGAGUCCCGGAUGGUUACGUCAUGGGGUACGAGCUGGGCUACAUGAAAGGAGUACUGGAGCAUGUACUGCGGGCUCAUCCCGACUUACAAACAAGAGAAGCUUACAUGCAGGGUUAUGUCAGCGGUUAUGGCCAAGGGCUGCUCUACGCAGUCAGGAACAGGUCGCUCAGUUCUCAGCGGGGAGGGGCGGGGAGGAGCAUUACACACACCGGGUGGGGAGGGGAGCGCCGUUGAAAGAUUGUAGUGCAUGAAUUGUAACGAUAAAGUUAUUGGACUUAUUUAGUUUAAAACUUGAACAAAAAAGAGGAUUUGUCACCACAUGAUUUGCUUUUUUUAGAGAAAAAAUAUCUAUAUGUCAACAAAAGAAAAACAUCUUGUGGAAUGAUAGUGUAAAAUACCGAGAUACUUUCGCCUUGUUCCGUCGGUAAAAAGCAAAUUAUCUCACCUAGGGAAUAACUUAUGAUUAUUACACGAUGCGGGGAAACAAUCAUUCUUUUAGCACCGAUGGGUUUGGGGGUGGCUACCGUAAUCGGAAAUUACCAUACUCGUACCCAGGCGCUAAAUGUUGAAAUUGAUGCGCAAAGAUGGGGGAUUGAAAAAAAAAACGUCCUUCCCAUAAAGCACUGCGCCCCCGCCUCGUAAAUUUCUGGGAAGUGAUUGCGCGCGCACAAACACGAGCUUGUGAACCGCAGUUAGCCGCCAGUGCUGAAAAACGCAAGACUAGUUCCACGCGGUUAAUCCAGCCAUUUUGUUUUAAAAUGACGGCGUUUUAACGGCCAACUGUCUCACCUUGGCAAAUGCAAA